UGGCAUUGGAACUGAUUGAUGGGACCUCUAGACCUUCGGGGACCUGGGACUCCCACUUCGAUCUAGUAAUGACCUGGAGGGUUUUCAUAGUCUAGGAGUCGUUACCCCCAAUAUACCUUAAGGUCAACUUUGAUGGGAGUGUCAGAGAUAGAAGCGGUAGCACUGUAUUUGUGAUUUGAGGGCCUGAUUCCAAAUUGGUGGUGGCGGGGGGUAUCAUUUUUUUGAGCCCACGGUUCCUCGAGUGGAACUACAUGCAGCUUGGACAGGGUC
rnacentral:lncRNA from 1 species